GAUGAAGAACGCAGCGAAAUGCGAUACGUAAUGUGAAUUGCAAAUUCAGUGAAUCAUCGAGUCUUUGAACGCACAUUGCGCCCCCUGGUAUUCCGGGGGGCAUGCCUGUCCGAGCGUCAUUGCUGCCCUCAAGCACGGCUUGUGUGUUGGGCCCCGUCCUCCGAUCCCGGGGGACGGGCCCGAAAGGCAGCGGCGGCACCGCGUCCGGUCCUCGAGCGUAUGGGGUUUUGUCACCCGCUCUGUAGGCCCGGCCGGCGCUUGCCGAUCAACCCAAAUUUUUAUCCAGGUUGACCUCGGAUCAGGUAGGGAUACCCGCUGAACUUAAGCAUAUCAAUAAGCGGAGGA
rnacentral:misc_RNA from 1 species